rnacentral:rRNA from 1 species
UGCAGUCGAGCGGCAGCACGGGUACUUGUACCUGGUGGCGAGCGGCGGACGGGUGAGUAAUGCCUAGGAAUCUGCCUGGUAGUGGGGGAUAACGCUCGGAAACGGACGCUAAUACCGCAUACGUCCUACGGGAGAAAGCAGGGGACCUUCGGGCCUUGCGCUAUCAGAUGAGCCUAGGUCGGAUUAGCUAGUUGGUGAGGUAAUGGCUCACCAAGGCGACGAUCCGUAACUGGUCUGAGAGGAUGAUCAGUCACACUGGAACUGAGACACGGUCCAGACUCCUACGGGAGGCAGCAGUGGGGAAUAUUGGACAAUGGGCGAAAGCCUGAUCCAGCCAUGCCGCGUGUGUGAAGAAGGUCUUCGGAUUGUAAAGCACUUUAAGUUGGGAGGAAGGGCAUUUACCUAAUACGUAAGUGUUUUGACGUUACCGACAGAAUAAGCACCGGCUAACUCUGUGCCAGCAGCCGCGGUAAUACAGAGGGUGCAAGCGUUAAUCGGAAUUACU